CAAUAGCGUAUAUUAAAGUUGUUGCGGUUAAAAAGCUCGUAGUUGGAUUUCUGCCGAGGACGACCGGUCCGCCCUCUGGGUGAGUAUCUGGCUUGGCCUGGGCAUCUUCUUGGAGAACGUAGCUGCACUUGACUGUGUGGUGCGGUAUCCAGGACUUUUACUUUGAGGAAAUUAGAGUGUUUCAAGCAGGCAUACGCCUUGAAUACAUUAGCAUGGAAUAAUAAGAUAGGACCUCGGUUCUAUUUUGUUGGUUCUAAAGCUGAGGUAAUGAUUAAUAGGGAUAAUUGGGGGUCUUUGUAUUGCAACGUCAGAGGUGAAAUUCUUGGAUUGUUGCACGACAAACUACUGCGAAAGCAUUGACCAAGGAUGUUUUUCAUUGAUCAAGAACGAAAGUAAGGGGAUCGAAGACGAUUAGAU
rnacentral:rRNA from 1 species